rnacentral:rRNA from 1 species
AUGGAUGCUACAGAUGACCGAGAAGAGCUUCUAGCUGCUGCAAAUGCUGCCCAUGGUGCCAUAGUUGGUGCGUAUGCUGGUCCUUUUUGGAAGAAAAUAUCACCCAUGCUUACUUUCAUCAGCUCUGAAGAUUUAUCCUUCUUAAAAAACCAGAUAAUAUUUUUGGAAGAGCUUGAGAUGGGCAUGUCUAAUAAGCACGAAGAAGAUAAGUUAACUGCAUCCACUAACUACAAUGGGCCACCAUCAAUGGCACUUCCCCUUCUGCCACUCCCCUACUCUUAUCGUGCAAGAUGUUUUCAGUUGAGCAUUCCUCCCCAGGUUCUACCUCCAUCCAAUUCUUCUUUGUUGCUGGAUCAAGGGGAAGCAAAUGGUGUUGGACCAAGAGAAUCUGUUGACAUUUUGUCUUAUAAUGGCAAGAAUCAUAACAACACAUCUCAAAAGGCACAGGGGCAAGGAAUAUUUGGUGAAAUGGCUCCCUUGACAAGUACACUGCUCUGUGCUUUGAUUGUAGAAGAUGUUGAUGACUUUCCCGAGUCCAAUGGUGUCCAAGGAGAUAUACUUCUGGAGUUCUCCAAUGACUACAUUCCUCGUGCUGCCGCAGUUGAGUUUGAAGCUAUGGGCUAG